GUUUAUAUUUAUGAAGUCAUAGGCAGGAAAAAAAAUAAGAGAGAGAGAGAAGAAAAAGAGCCCUAACCACUGGCCCCUCAUUCUUCUUCUCCGACGACUGUUCAACAGCAACAGGUAGCGACGGCCGGUGCCCACACCCAAGCGAACCAAAAGCUCCGUCGUUGAGGGUGGUCUACGCUCAUCCACGAAUCUGAGACUUGCAUUGUGAGCCUUCCCCUAGGCUUUUGCAGCAUCAUUUCGACGACUAGUUCUGUCUUGCUACCGCUUUUGGCUUGGGGGGGUAUGCUUUCGACUGUUACCCACACUCCCAUUGAUCUUAAAUUAGUCUACCCAUAACGUCUAAGGAUCAGAUCUGCAAUUUGAAUGCUUUUGAAUGCCGUCCAGCAAGGUUCGGAGCCCUUUUUGGUAAGAGUCAUUUUGGACUAGCUCGGACUGAUCGACUCAGGUCUAUGGUUGGUUUUGGUUGAUUUUGGACUUCGAGGAAGUUGAUAUUUGUCCUAGUGGGUUUAUGAUGGAGAACUGUAGGAUAGUCAAUUGAGUUGGAUUGAGAAAUACCGACUAUUAAAUCAUCAUCACCAUGUCGCCUCCUGGGGGUUCACCAAGGAAGCGAAAGGAGGUUGAGCCGCUUGUGAAGCCGAAAGUUGCAGAAGCCGAUGCAAUUUCAGCAAAUCGACUUCUAGCAGGCUAUCUUGCUCACGAGUUUCUCAGCAACGGCACUUUGUUUGGGGAGAAGUAUGAAACGGCUCAAACCGAAGCUGUUGGAAUGGCUAACUUGCAGUCAGCUGAGUGUAAGAGGACAAAGCCGGAAGCUGCCGCAGCGGGCAUAAAAAAAUUAAAUCAUAGCUACGCUGAGGUGGCAAGCAUCUUGAAGAUGGAUGGAGCCCAUUUGCCUGGAAUUGUUAACCCGGGCCAGCUCGCUUGGUGGAUUAAAAUGUAAGUGUCAACGUGGUGUCUUUUGAUUGGUACAUAUUUUACUUUGGAGUUUACGUUGAAAUCUCCCAUAUCUCAAAACCACAAGAAAAGUGGAGUGUUCUCUCUCUCACCAAAGUUGUUUUCGAGAAAUUGUCUUCCAUUUGUUCUCUUGAAUUUCUAUAUCAGCGUAGAGUGAUAUCUGUUACUGAUCAAUGUAUAGGAUUAAGUUCAGAAAUGGAUAAUCGGUUCUCUUUGCUAUAGUUUUGUAAUCGUACAGUUUCUUUCCAUGUAAAUGAUUAUAAAUUACCUUUUUGGUCUUGUUUUCUUUCAUUUUUUUGUUGCUUUGAUCUUCGAAAUACAGGUCUGUAAUGGAUGUAUGCUUAAGCUUUUAACUGUUGUACAGCCAUUUGCUUUAGCAAUGGAAGCAAAAGCCAUGAUGUUUAUAUUACAAAAUAGUAGAAAGGGGAAGAAAGGAGUGCAUGUUACAGAGUGUGAGCACUAGAUGGGGACCUGGCGGGGGGCGGGGGGAAGUCUUCUUGUUGCUGCAUUUCGAUUACAAAAUUGAUAUUUCAUCCAUUCCAUAUUGUACUUUCUUUCAUAUUUUCAAUUGAAUAAAGGCAUACCUAGUUGGUGUUCUAUCAUAUUUGUAUCAGAGUGUUUGAUAAGAAAUGGCAUAAAAGUGGAUUGAAGGGAAGUUUGAAACAUUCAAUCAGGAAAUCUGGGAAAUAUGAGUAGAGUUACAUAAGUUUUUGGUGAUUGAAGAAAACUUGUUAUCCCCAGCGAAGAGCAUCGAAAGAUUGGACAUCCAAGUAAAAAAACAACCGUUGUUGAAAUGCGUCGAAGGAAUGGUGAAGGAGUGGAAGAAUCGUUGAGCAAAGGACCGAUAAUUGAGAGCAUCAUCGAAGGUAGAGGUGCAACAUUAAAAGGAAACCAAGAUCAAAGGGAAGACGAACAAGUUUGAAGGGGAUGAAAACUCGAAUGAUUGUAGUAAAUUCAAGAAGGUUAAAAUGCUGGUAUUCAGUGGCAGUGAUCUGAUUCAUGGUUGUUGAGAUCCAUAAACUGACUAAUUUUGAGAAAUUGAUUGUCACCAUGAUUAGUUUUGAUGGAGAGGCAUUGGAUUGGUACCGAUCAUAUGAAGAAUGUUGAACCAUUCAAAGAUUGGGUAGAUAUGAAACAAAGGUUAAUUGGAUUUCGGUCAAUGAGAGAAGGAUCAAUUUGCGGACUAUUGUUGGCUUUUAAGCAAGAGAUGACAGUGGAAGGAUAGCGAAAUUUGUUUGACUAAUUGGUAGCACCAUUGCCACACCUGCCGAAGAAGGUUUUGGAGGAAACGUUCAUGAAUGGGCUUAGCUUGUGGAUCAAAGUGGAAGUGGAAUGUUGGGAACCAGUUGGGCUUACACAAAUGAUGAAGUUGGCCCAACACAUAGAAAACUGAGAGAUGACGAGAAGAGAAGUGGCUUAAAGAAGAGUACAGAAGGCUAUGGUCAUCAGUGAUAAAUGGGAAAAUUAUAGAGAAGAUGAUGUGAUCAAGGCAAGGCAUGUGAAGGAGUUGGUGCUCGAUGACAUUUGGUGGGACAAAAUUAAUUAUAUUUUGUCAUUCACUUCACCCAUAUACGACUUGCUAAGAGCUUGUGAUAUAGACAUACCUUGUUUACAUUUGGUGUAUGACAUGUGGGAUACUAUGAUUAAAAAGGUA